rnacentral:rRNA from 1 species
AACGAACGCUGGCGGCAGGCCUAACACAUGCAAGUUGAACGCCCCGCAAGGGGAGUGGCAGACGGGUGAGUAACGCGUGGGAACCUACCUCUUGGUGCGGAAUAACUUCGGGAAACCGGUGCUAAUACCGCAUACGCCCUCCGGGGGAAAGAUUUAUCGCCGAGAGAUGGGCCCGCGUCGGAUUAGCUAGUUGGUGAGGUAAAGGCUCACCAAGGCGACGAUCCGUAGCUGGUCUGAGAGGAUGAUCAGCCACACUGGGACUGAGACACGGCCCAGACUCCUACGGGAGGCAGCAGUGGGGAAUAUUGGACAAUGGGCGCAAGCCUGAUCCAGCCAUGCCGCGUGAGUGAUGAAGGCCUUAGAGUUGUAAGGCUCUUUCGCCGGUGAAGAUAAUGACGGUAACCGGAGAAGAAGCCCCGGCUAACUUCGUGCCAGCCGCCGCAGUAA